rnacentral:rRNA from 1 species
GACGAACGCUGGCGGCGUGCUUAACACAUGCAAGUCGAACGCUGAACCCGCUUCGGUGGGGGAUGAGUGGCGAACGGGUGAGUAACACGUGGGCAACCUGCCCCCGGCUCUGGGAUAACUCCAAGAAAUUGGGGCUAAUACCGGAUGUGACCGCUGGCCGCAUGGUCUGGUGGUGGAAAGGGUUUCCGGCUGGGGAUGGGCCCGCGGCCUAUCAGCUUGUUGGUGGGGUAGUGGCCUACCAAGGCGACGACGGGUAGCCGGCCUGAGAGGGUGACCGGCCACACUGGGACUGAGACACGGCCCAGACUCCUACGGGAGGCAGCAGUGGGGAAUAUUGCGCAAUGGGCGGAAGCCUGACGCAGCGACGCCGCGUGGGGGAUGACGGCCUUCGGGUUGUAAACCUCUUUCAGCAGGGACGAAGCGCAAGUGACGGUACCUGCAGAAGAAGCACGGGCCAACUACGUG